rnacentral:rRNA from 1 species
UACGUAGGGUGCAAGCGUUAAUCGGAAUUACUGGGCGUAAAGCGUGCGCAGGCGGUUAUGUAAGACAGGUGUGAAAUCUCCGGGCUUAACCUGGGAACUGCAUUUGUGACUGCAUAGCUAGAGUACGGUAGAGGGGGAUGGAAUUCCGCGUGUAGCAGUGAAAUGCGUAGAUAUGCGGAGGAACACCGAUGGCGAAGGCAAUCCCCUGGACCUGUACUGACGCUCAUGCACGAAAGCGUGGGGAGCAAACAGG